CCUACGGGUGGCAGCAGUGAGGAAUAUUGGUCAAUGGCCGUAAGGCUGAACCAGCCAAGUAGCGUGAGGGAAGACUGCCCUACGGGUUGUAAACCUCUUUUAUCCGGGGGUAAAGGGGUUCACGUGUGGCUCUUUGAGGGUACCGGAUGAAUAAGGAUCGGCUAAAUCCGUGCCAGCAGCCGCGGUAAUACGGAAGGUCCGAGCGUUAUCCGGAUUUAUUGGGUUUAAAGGGAGCGGAGGCCGGAGUUGAAGUCCGCCGUGAAAUUUUGGGGCUCAACCCUGAAAGUGCCGUGGAAACUGGAGGCCUUGAGUGCGCGGAAGGCAUGCGGAAUGCGUGGUGUAGCGGUGAAAUGCUUAGAUAUCACGAAGAACUCCGAUUGCGAAGGCAGCCUACCGCAGCGCAACUGACGCUGAUGCUCGAAAGCGUGGGUAUCGAACAGGAUUAGAUACCCGGGUAGUC
rnacentral:rRNA from 1 species